rnacentral:rRNA from 1 species
AAGGAUUCCCCUAGUAACUGCGAGUGAAGCGGGAAAAGCUCAAAUUUAAAAUCUGGCGGUCUCUGGCCGUCCGAGUUGUAAUCUAGAGAAGUAAUGCCCGUGCUGGACCGUGUAUAAGUCUCCUGGGAUGGGGCGUCAUAGAGGGUGAGAAUCCCGUCUUUGACACGGACUACCAGUGCAUUGUGGUAUGCUCUCAAAGAGUCGAGUUGUUUGGGAAUGCAGCUCAAAAUGGGUGGUAAAUUCCAUCUAAAGCUAAAUAUUGGCGAGAGACCGAUAGCGAACAAGUACCGUGAGGGAAAGAUGAAAAGAACUUUGGAAAGAGAGUUAAACAGUACGUGAAAUUGCUGAAAGGGAAACGCUUGAAGUCAGUCGCGUUGGCCGGGGAUCAGCCUUGCUUUUGCAUGGUGUACUUUCUGGUUGACGGGUCAGCAUCAAUUUUGACCGCUGGAAAAAGACCUGGGGAAUGUGGCAGCUUCGGCUGUGUUAUAGCCCCUAGUCGCAUACAGUGGUUGGGAUUGAGGAACUCAGCACGCCGCAAGGCCGGGUUUCGACCACGUUCGUGCUUAGGAUGCUGGCAUAAUGGCUUUAAGCGACCCGUCUUGAAACACGGACCAAGGAGUCUAACAUGCCUGCGAGUAUUUGGGUGGAAAACCCAAGUGCGUAAUGAAAGUGAAAGUUGAGAUCCCUGUCGUGGGGAGCAUCGACGCCCGGACCAGAACUUUUGGGACGGAUCCGCGGUGGAGCAUGUAUGUUGGGACCCGAAAGAUGGUGAACUAUGCCUGAAUAGGGUGAAGCCAGAGGAAACUCUGGUGGAGGCUCGUAGCGAUUCUGACGUGCAAAUCGAUCGUCAAAUUUG